rnacentral:rRNA from 1 species
UACAGAGGUCUCAAGCGUUGUUCGGAUUCAUUGGGCGUAAAGGGUGCGUAGGCGGCGCGGUAAGUCGGGUGUGAAAUCUCGGAGCUUAACUCCGAAACUGCAUUCGAUACUGCCGUGCUUGAGGACUGGAGAGGAGACUGGAAUUUACGGUGUAGCGGUGAAAUGCGUAGAUAUCCGAAGGAACAUCAGUGGCGAAGGCGGGUCUCUGGACAGUUCCUGACGCUGAGGCACGAAGGUCAGGGGAGCAAACGGG